rnacentral:misc_RNA from 1 species
GAUGAAGAACGUAGCGAAAUGCGAUAAGUAAUGUGAAUUGCAGAAUUCAGUGAAUCAUCGAAUCUUUGAACGCACAUUGCGCCCGCCAGUAUUCUGGCGGGCAUGCCUGUUCGAGCGUCAUUACAACCCUCAGGCCCCCGGGCCUGGCGUUGGGGAUCGGCGGAGCCCCCCGUGGGCACACGCCGUCCCCCAAAUGCAGUGGCGGUCCCGCCGCAGCUUCCAUCGCGUUGUAGCUAACACCUCGCGACUGGAGAGCGGCGCGGCCACGCCGUAAAACACCCAACUCUUCUGAAGUUGACCUCGAAUCAGGUAGGAAUACCCGCUGAACUUAAGCAUAUCAAUAAGCGGAGGA